CAGCUGUAAACGAUGCAGGCUAGGUGUUUGGACGGCCACGUGCCGUUCUAGUGCCGCAGGGAAGCUGUUAAGCCUGCCGCCUGGGGAGUACGAUCGCAAGAUUGAAACUUAAAGGAAUUGGCGGGGGAGCACCACAAGGGGUGAAGCUUGCGGUUUAAUUGGAGUCAACGCCGGAAAUCUCACCGGGAGCGACAGCAGUGUGAAGGCCAGAUUAAAGGUCUUGCCAGACGAGCUGAGAGGAGGUGCAUGGCGUCAGUGACU
rnacentral:rRNA from 1 species